UUUUGGUAAUACAGUGAACAUCAGUUUUAGCGUUCGUCGCUGUUCGCUGAAUUUGUGCGAUAAGUCGGCUGCAGGGCCUAUCACUUUUACAUUGGUUUGGUGUUAUUUUGGAUGUCUGUGGAUGUGUGUGUCAAUGGAGCUUGACAUGAUUAUCACUCAGAGACCAUAUGGUUGAAGUUUAUUUGGAUGUUACACGGAAAAACGUCCGUGAUCAUAGUUGUUGAGCAGUUGUAGCCGGCUGAUAGUCUGUAUGGAAGAUAAUUUGCAGCUCGUUCCUUUGCGAACGACAUCAGAUUGUUCACUGCUUGUACAUUUCACAUAAAUGAGAAAGCACGGGUGAUUCCAGAGUUGGUGAAUUCUGAACCCUCGAGAUGUCCGCUUUCUUCACUCUUAGGAAAAAGUGGGAUGUUGCAGAGAAAGUAGAGCCAGAUAACUUGGAUUGAAGCCAACAGGAAAGCUGUCUAAAAGAGCGAACAGACCUCCUGUUACAGACGAUGUUACGAACGUUUUGUGUUGCUGUGCGUGUUUGCGUAAAUUCGCAACGUAAACAUUGGGUACAAAGAAGUGUUGUGUUAGGGAAUGCUAUUGAAUUAGUCUAAUAACGGGAGAUUGUUGGGGCAUUCAAAUUUCAACUGUUCUAUUUUCAAGCCUGAAGAAUUUUUUGAAACAGCAAUAUACCCAGUAGUCGAGAUCUACAAGAAAGGUUAUUUUGAUAUAUUUUACUGAGGAUUACAUCUUUGGUGCCAAAGCUAUCUUUUAAAAUACUUUGUAAUCCUGAUAAAAUUGCAUGAAUCCGUUUUUCUGGCACGAUUAAUCAUUAGUUUGCAACAGUAAACGUUAAGUAGACUUACUGUUGAGUACCGGUAUACAUUCUGGUUGAAAGAUUGAGAACACAUCAACCGUUAAGGUUGUGAUAGUGGUAAUAAUUUAACAGGUCUGACGCCUGUAAAUCCGCUGUAUCUAGAGAUCUAGUACAAUAAUUUAUAUCACAGUCUCGAUUAUAAACACGGUCUAGUAUGCUCUGUUAAAUUAUAUGGCUAAUUUGCUAGAAAGGUUGUGUUUGUCAAUUUAUACCACACGUUAUUUAGCUUCGUUACAUAAAUCCUAGAUGAAUAUUCACCGUCUAGAAAUGGAUUAACUGUGUUUCGAUCACAUUAUUAUUGCGUUGGCGGCCCCACAUUGACGGGACCUGCAGCAUGGAUGUUAUCCGAACCACCAGGAUUAACAUAUUUACAACCUGUCCCGUCAACAUUUUGUCGAAUCUGGGUUCAAACCGGCUUCAUGCAGUCGAGAAAUAAGAAUAGUCUUGACCACGGCUUAGUUAGAGUUGACCUGUAACGGGUAAUCUUUACAGAAUUAAUGAACCAUGCCCCCUUUUCCAAUAUGUAAAUUAGUAUUUAGUUUUGGUAAUAUGAUUUUGUUUCAGUAAUCGAUUGUUUAAAGGUUUAA